GAUGAAAACGUAGCGAAAUGCGAUACUUGGUGUGAAUUGCAGAAUCCCGUGAACCAUCGAGUCUUUGAACGCAAGUUGCGCCCGAAGCCAUUAGGCCGAGGGCACGCCUGCCUGGGCGUCACACGUCGUUGCCCCCCCAUCUACUCCUUCGGGAUUGCGGGGGGCGGAUGAUGGCCUCUCGUGCGCCUCGUCGCGCGGUUGGCCUAAAUGCCAAGUCCUCGGCGACGCACGCCACGACAAUCGGUGGUUGCGAAACCUCGGUUGCCUGUCGUGUGCGGUCGUCGCGCAUCGAGGGCUCGAAAAAAUUGCCGGGCUUCGGCUCGACUUUCAACGCGACCCCAGGUCAGGCGGGGUUACCCGCUGAAUUUAAGCAUAUCAAUAAGCGGAGGA
rnacentral:misc_RNA from 1 species